GGCACAAAUUAACACCAAAUGGUUAAAAGUAUAAUUCCAAAAGUUGCCUCAGGUGUUAGCAGAGAAAUUGUUAUGCCGAA